GCCCCUGUAGCCCAAUGGCAGAGGCAGGUUCCCUAAAAGAGCCUAUGUGUCGGUUCGAGUCCGACCAGGGGCA
rnacentral:tRNA from 1 species